UACGAAGGGGGCUAGCGUUGCUCGGAUUGACUGGGUGUAAAGGGCGCGUAGGCGGUUCGUACAGUCAGACGUGAAAUUCCUGGGCUCAACCUGGGGGCUGCGUUUGAUACGUGCGGACUUGAGUGCGGAAGAGGGUCGUGGAAUUCCCAGUGUAGAGGUGAAAUUCGUAGAUAUUGGGAAGAGCACCGGUGGCGAAGGCGGCGACCUGGUCCGAUACUGACGCUGAGACGCGAAAGCGUGGGGAGCAAACAGG
rnacentral:rRNA from 1 species